rnacentral:lncRNA from 1 species
AGAGUCUUUCAUAUUUUUUUUUUGGUCUUUUAUAAGAGAUAAUGUGAAAAAAAUUGGCUUCAUCUAAAUUGGUGGCAAUUAUAUGAAAAACCUUCUUUUCACGUUUUUUGAAAAAAAAUCACAUCUUUCUUUCUUCUCUUUAUCAUCUGCAUGUAUGCUUGGAGGCUCUUUACUUUCAUAUACAAUAUUCCAAAGAUCAAAAGAUACUAAUAAAAGUUCUAUUUUGACCUUAUAAUAGUAGAAAUUGUCCCCUCUUAACUUUUCAAUCACUCUCAAAUCUUCAUUCUCACUACAAGCCAUGUUUUAAAAGAAUUUUAUCAAAAAAUAUCAAAAAAAAGAAUCUUUAUGUGCUCAAAAUUAUCAAAACAAUUUUAUACUAAUAAAAUCUCAAAAUGCUCUCUUGUAAAUAAUUGAGUGCUUUUCCACUCAAAACACUCUCAAAUCAA